AUUAGAGUUUGAUCCUGGCUCAGGACGAACGCUGGCGGCGUGCUUAACACAUGCAAGUCGAGCGGAAAGGCCCCUUCGGGGGUACUCGAGCGGCGAACGGGUGAGUAACACGUGAGCAACCUGCCCCUGACUCUGGGAUAAGCCCGGGAAACUGGGUCUAAUACCGGAUAUGACCACUCCAGGCAUCUGGUGGUGGUGGAAAGUUUUUCGGUUGGGGAUGGGCUCGCGGCCUAUCAGCUUGUUGGUGGGGUGAUGGCCUACCAAGGCGACGACGGGUAACCGGCCUGAGAGGGCGACCGGUCACACUGGGACUGAGACACGGCCCAGACUCCUACGGGAGGCAGCAGUGGGGAAUAUUGCGCAAUGGGCGGAAGCCUGACGCAGCGACGCCGCGUGGGGGAUGACGGCCUUCGGGUUGUAAACCCCUUUCAGCAGGGACGAAGCUAACGUGACGGUACCUGCAGAAGAAGCGCCGGCUAACUACGUGCCAGCAGCCGCGGUAAUACGUAGGGCGCAAGCGUUGUCCGGAAUUAUUGGGCGUAAAGAGCUCGUAGGCGGUUUGUCGCGUCUGUCGUGAAAGCCCACGGCUUAACCGUGGGUCUGCGGUGGAUACGGGCAGACUAGAGGCAGGUAGGGGAGAAUGGAAUUCCCGGUGUAGCGGUGAAAUGCGCAGAUAUCGGGAGGAACACCGGUGGCGAAGGCGGUUCUCUGGGCCUGUACUGACGCUGAGGAGCGAAAGCGUGGGGAGCGAACAGGAUUAGAUACCCUGGUAGUCCACGCCGUAAACGUUGGGCGCUAGGUGUGGGGUUCUUCCACGGAUUCCGCGCCGUAGCUAACGCAUUAAGCGCCCCGCCUGGGAGUACGGCCGCAGGCUAAAACUCAAAGGAAUUGACGGGGCCCGC
rnacentral:rRNA from 1 species